GACGAACGCUGGCGGCGUGCCUAAUACAUGCAAGUUGAGCGCUGAAGGUUGGUACUUGUACCGACUGGAUGAGCAGCGAACGGGUGAGUAACGCGUGGGGAAUCUGCCUUUGAGCGGGGGACAACAUUUGGAAACGAAUGCUAAUACCGCAUAAAAACUUUAAACACAAGUUUUAAGUUUGAAAGAUGCAAUUGCAUCACUCAAAGAUGAUCCCGCGUUGUAUUAGCUAGUUGGUGAGGUAAAGGCUCACCAAGGCGAUGAUACAUAGCCGACCUGAGAGGGUGGUCGGCCACAAUGGGACUGAGACAAGGCCCAAACUCCUACGGGAGGCAGCAGUAGGGAAUCUUCGGCAAUGGACGAAAGUCUGACCGAGCAACGCCGCGUGAGUGAAGAAGGUUUUCGGAUCGUAAAACUCUGUUGGUAGAGAAGAACGUUGGUGAGAGUGGAAAGCUCAUCAAGUGACGGUAACUACCUAGAAAGGGACGGCUAACUACGUG
rnacentral:rRNA from 1 species